rnacentral:lncRNA from 1 species
ACUCCCUCUUUUUUUUCUAGCAACAAGCAGCCGCACCUCCCCAAAAAUGGAAAACUCUCCAUCGUCUCUCUUCUCUCAAAUGAGAAACAACAGCCACUCUCUCAUCUCUCUUGAUCGGGCCAAUCAGCCGUUGCUCCAGCAACUCUCCUACAAUCAGCCGCCCACCCCUCUCUAAAGUUCCCUAUGAUCCUCUUUUUCACUUGAGAGAACAACCAACUAGCCUCUUCUCCCUCACUCUUUCAGAUUCUCCAUCCCAUCUUCACCCUCUUGCCUCCAGACCUACCCACCUGCCCCAAACCCGACAAAAAAUUGGCGAUCCCCUAUGAAUUUCUUAUCUCCCUCACUUGAGCAAAAAACACGCACACAUAGAGGAAGAAGGGAGGAACGGACAUAGGGGAAUUCUGAAAAAAGAAAAAUAAAGACAGGGGGAUUAGAAAAUGGACGGGGAGCACAGCGGACAGCGAGGAAACGGUGGGAAAAACGGAAACAGAGAAACAGAGGAUGACACUUUAAAAGAAAUUAGGAUAGAAAAAUCAAGGGGAAUCUGGGGUUUUUCGACGGAAAUUAAGAGAAUAGAAGUGAGUGUUGAGUAAUUCUUCUGCAAAUUUCCACCUUUCCUUUGAAGCUCGAAAUACUCAAAAAAAAAAGAUAUUUCUGUUUCUUCACUUUUCAAUUCUAAAUUUUGUUCAAGGAUGGACUUUGAUUAGAAUUUGUGUCUGAAUUCGUGUUUGGUUCGAGUUUUUCAGUGCCGAUUCGAGAUUCCGUCUGGGUUCGUGUUUGAGAGUUCUGUAGAUUUGAGUUCCAAUCGUAACUAUGUUCGAUUCCAGUCCGGGUAACUAUUAGACGUCUUCAUCAAUUGAAAAUUCUAGUUUUAAGGUUCAACUCUUUCUCUCUUACUUUCAUCUAAUGGUGUUGAUUUUUCAUUUUAGGACAUUUAGAUACUAGAAAUGAAUUUUGAAGUUGGUUUUCAGUCUUGAUUAUUCUGUACUGUUGAGUUUCCUCCAUUCUUUUUGACUUAAUGCAUGAAUCCAUAUCUUUGUUGCGUUUUUGCGCUUGAGAAAAUGCAUAGGCUUAAUGUCAAUUAAUAUUAAACUAUUCAAGUAACGUGCUAAAUUUAUCUACGUUUAUCACUGCCUGCGUACUUCAUUGAAUGAACGUGGGUCACGGGAGUAGGAAGAGGUUAAAUCCCACUAGUAAUUUAUUUACUUUCAUGUUAUAGGGUUCGGGCUUAGUCAAAUACCCAAAAUUAAAAGUUAAAAAUAUGGGCAUGAAUUGAAUUUCUUUUAUUUAGUGUCCUUUUAUUUACUUUACUUUAUUGUAUUAUUCACUAGUAGCAUGUUUAGGCCGACCACACAUGGACAAGCAAUAAUAGGACGUUUGUGCAUCUUAUUUCAAAGUGAUAGGUCGUUCCCUUAGUUUAUUCUCAGGGGAAUGCCCCUCAGAUUUUGUAUAUAUUUUAUCCGGGGUAUGGCCCGUAGUGAAUGUAAUUAGAGGCCAUGACGGAUAUCGUGGACGAAGCAUAAUAUAGGUUAAUGUAGGAUUUUUAACAUUUUAUUUUUCUUUUCUUCUCUUUUUUUUUUUUAUUUAGGUGGGGAUGACCUCGAACCUCCUUUAUGUUUAUUUUUUCUUUUUGUGUGUAUUCUUAAUUAGAAUAUUCUUAACCAACUAGAUCCAGUACGCAACCAUGACUUUCACGGGACUCGAGGAAUGUCUAACACCUUCUUCCCGAGUCAAGUGAACCUCAUUACCUAGAACUCUGGUGCAGUCAGUUGUAGAGUCAAACGUAUUUUGAAAGAAAACUAUUUUUAAAUGGUGACCUGACACACCGAAACUCAAUUUCAGGUGGCGACUCUAAAAAAUCUUUUGAAACAUAAUCUUUUGUCACUUUUCAUAAUUGAAACCUUUUUGAACUUUAAAAAUAACUUUAUUAUUUUGAAAGAGGGUUAGUUAAGGUAAAAAAAAAAGGGGGAUAUGGCAUGUACCAUAUGAGAUCUUUAGCAACAUUUUCAUUAAUAUCAUCCAUAGCAAUUUUUAAUCUCUAUACCCAUCUAAUUCUUGCUCCAAUUAUCUUAAAGAUGCCUAACACACCAUUUAUAAUUUGAUUUAGGUACCAGAGUAGACACAACAUCCAGCAAACCCUGCAAUAUUAAAGAAAUUUUAUUAAUAAAAAAUGUAAAGCUAAAAGUGAAAAUCAAUAAUAAAAAUUAGAAGUACCUUCUGCAUAUCUGACAUAAAUGUCACUCCUUCACCAUCUCCCAGCUCUAAUGAAGAUCUCAAUAGCUCCAUAAGCCACUUUCAUAUUCUAGAUGUUUCUCUAUCCACCACUGCCCUAGCAAGUGGGUAAAAGUAUUUCACUGAAUCUUAAGCCAUAGCAACCAGUAAAAUUUCUCUGCACUUCCCUUUCAAAAAAUGUGUUGGAAGCAUAUAUACAUUCUAAGAAAACUUCUUUUUCCUUCUGUUAAAGCAUCUUUAGAGAUAUUUAUAACCACAACAGAGCCUGGGUUACUGUCCCUCAAUUAUUAAGCAUUGACCUCUAACCUACAGGUCAGCUCUCAUGUCUUUCACUUUAAAUUUAGGAUUAUUUUGGACUUUAUUCUUGAAGUAGUGUGCAAAUGCUUGUGGAGUAGUUCUUCUAUUCUUAUAUGCUGGAGCACAAUUAUGCUUAGUUAUUAGAGUCUUGAUUUUAAAACCUUGAGCUCUAUUAUCCCUUGAUAUCGAGAACACAAAAGGACAUCCAGCAUCACAUCUAUAUUUAACUCUACCAGUAUCACUCUUUUCAACUCUAUGUCCCUUAUUAUUAACAACAACAUAGUACCAAACCACUAUUUUAGCUUCAGCUAAAUCUUUAAAACUCAUACCCAUCACCAACUCCUUAUACUUUUCCAACUUAUAAUUGACUUUCCUAGUUCUUUUCUUUCUAAAAGGAUCCAACUAAUCAAAAUCAUAAUCACUAGAGUUAAUAAUAUAUGCAUAAGGUUCAUCAUCGUCAGAAGACUCGCAAUUAGUACCAAUAUCUACAUAGACAUUAUAGGGUUUAUUAUAGUAAAUGAUCUUAGGAACUGUGACAUGUACCUCACCCUCAUCUACAGCAGAUAACUGAAGCACACAUAAGUUAUUUGAUAGUAAAGAUUGUACUGUCCUAAUUCUGUAGUCACCUUCAACUAUGAAGUGACUAGCAGUUGUUCCACCUUCCUAAACCCAUAAUUUUCAAUGUAUUCUAUCUAUAUAAGACAACAAAUUCAAUAAUUAAACCAUCCACCAACCACAAUACAUACAAUAACUUCAGACAAGGACAGAUGUAAAGGGACUACAUGCAACCAAAAAUUAACUACAAAAUGACAUUAGAAGAAUGGAAGGAAACAAAGAAGCUGAAAACACAUGGAAAUACAUAAAAGCAACAAAACAACGACAGAUUCCACCGGUAGUAUAAGUAUAGAUAAAUACAUAGGCAAACUAGAAUUAAAUAUUUGGAAUCGAUAAAAAGUAGGACCCCAUAUCAAUAAUUUAACCAGCCACAACCACAAUAAAAUUUCUAAAUUCAAACAAGAAAAAAUGAAAAAGGGACCACAUGCAAUCCAAAAUUGACUACAAAAAAGACAUCAGAAGUAUUAAAGAAAACAAAGAAUCUAAAAGGCAUGUGAAAACACAUGGAAAACAAUACAAUAUGCAAAUUUAAAAACCUAAAACCUAUAUUAUUCACCAAAAUAAUAGUUUUAUUUACCUUGAAAAAUAUGAGUAACAAUUAAAUAUGAUUUGUGGUUUUAAAGAUGAGCGAUUUAUUUCAAUACUAGUGAAUAUACAAGUAAUACUAAACUAAAGUAAGAGGAAUUGAUGAACCAUACCAGCGUUGUUAGAGCAAUAAGGACCUCGAUCUCGAUUAUCUCGGGGGCCUCGAGGUGAUAUAAGAGCAAUAGAGUAUGAACAAUAAACUAAAGACAAUAAAGCUGAAGAACAAUUAUUAAGCACGGUAAACAAGAAAAGCAAAGUGGAAUAUUCUAUUGCAGUGAAUGAGAUUGUUUUUACAAAUGAUUGGGGUCCCCUUUAUAUAGGAGGGAAAAACCUUAAUAUGGUUCAUUCCUAAUUGUGGUAAAUAAUUCUAUUGGUACAGCUGUAUAAUAACCUGGUACGGACUCGUACUAUUUCGUACAAAUCUUAUCCUUUAAUUUGUGCCUUGAUCCACGUGUCCUUGAGAAAUUCCCACUCUUUCUUGAGUGUCGUCGAAAUUGUACUACUCUCAAUGUAGGUCAUACCAGGCCUUCGAUUUGCUCCCUCGAGGUGUGUGUCCUUCAGCCGUGUCUGACCCCCACUUGAAGUCGCCCAUACUCGGACUCAUACUCCAAUUUCAAACUUCGAAAUCAGGCUCCUUGAUUUUGACCGUAUAAAGAUAGUCUUCGCAUUUCUUAGAAUGAAAUAAUAUGAAACGAUUUGGACUACCGAAGUCCUUAGUGAUGACGUCAUAACCAUGAUGCAAGCGUUCAAAGUGACCGAAACGUCCCGUCGGUCCAUUUCCCCAAAAACAUUGAAUGUAUGCCGGUAUUGGCCGGCCACUAGUGCCGCCAAACCUUCAUUGCCCUUCUAUAAAUAUGAGGCGAUUACUCCAAGUAAAGAACUUUACUCUUUCUUCACCCCUUUGUCGUCUUCAUCUAUUUCUCCAAUCACCCAUUUCCUUUGCCACUUUAAGCGCCGGAAAAUGCCAAGCUCUUGCUAGAGACACCACAUCCCUGUGUAAUCCGUAUUAUUUAGCUUACAACCAUGGCCAAGACUUCCAAAACGGUCCUCAAAAAGGAUAAAGCAUCGUCCUCUUCUGCCUCCCGGCCGGCCAAACCAGUGGUGGCACCAAUACUUGAGGAAAUCACCCCCGGUAAUUGCAUUAUUAUGAAAGACUUUAGUAUCGAGAAUUCUCUCGAUGUCCCAGGCCGAUGCGAGUACGCAUCUCGAUAUAUUAGCUUGAUAACGAAGAAGCUUAUCAAGGACGUAAAGAGGGACUGUUUCUGGGGAGAUGAGGUUGACGUUCAGAUUCUGAGCCCCGGUGAAAGCAUUACUACCCACAUGCGGGGUUUUCGAGUUUUUACACUUACCCCUUCACAUUGGGUCCCCUCGAUCCGGUGGUGAUCGACUUCUGCAAAACGUACAAAGUCAACCUCGGUCAGAUUCACCCUUCCUUUGGUGUAUCGUGAUCAUGUUGCGGUAUUUUUCUGAAAAGGCCAAGGGUUUGGAAUUCACCCUCAGCCACCUGGUUCGAUUGUAUCGGCUCCAGUUAUUUCUAGGGCUCAUCAAGCUGUAGCACCAAACAAUGAAAUCCUUCUUUGUUGUACCGACAAACCCAAAGAUCGGGGUUGGAUGAGCCGAUUUGUUAGAGUAAGAACUUCGGACGUCAUCCCCGAGGAUAAAAUAUCAUUCCCGGAGAGAUGGAACUUUAACUGUAAGUGGAGUUUGUAUUCCCUAUACCUAUUUAUAUUUUGCUUCCAUAUUUCAUAACGUUGUUAUGCUUUUUCUGACAGCCAAUGCUUGGGCACCACCAGCGGUGCCCGACCUUGAGGAUUAGGUCCAAAGGUUAGCUGCCACUUCUUCCUAUGAUGAGCGCAAGUGGUGUGGGUUAUCGAAGGGCCAGUGGGAGGCCAAGAACCAUGCUAAGUGUCUAUCAAUAGUUUCAAAUGCUCUUCAUACAUUGGCAGCAUUUUAUUCACGCCUACUUGUGCAGGCCUCAGCGAUGCAUCCGAAAUGAGGCUAACUCCGAUCAUGGAAAGGACCAAGCCAUCAAAUUCGAAGUCCGAGAAGGACAACAAAAGGAAAAGGUUUUCAAAGCCCGAAGACCCUCAAGACAAGAAAACCCCCGCUCGAAGGCUGUGGAAAAGAUUUGCUCAAACGGACGCAGAUUUGGCCCGUGAUUCCCCAGAUGAUGAAGAAAAUGAUGAUGAAGUGUCGGCGCUGGUGACUCAGACUAGGAAGCCGGACGAGGCCACCAAACCUUACAAACUGGAAAUCUAAUCCUGUGGUGAGGAGACCCCGAAGGAAGAAGCGGGCAGAGCUCCUGUGUCCGCGGAGGUUGAGAUUGUCCCUCCGUCUUCAACAACUAUACUAUAUGGGGUAAAUGCUGAGACCCCCAAUGGUAAUGAGAAUUCCCCGAGUGAAGAGCUCGGGGUCGCGACAACAGGUCACUCCCUUUCAUUGCCAACCUUUUCCGAAGGGGCAAUCGAAGAAGCCAACACUUUGCGCAUGCCCGAUCCGAACAAGGUCAUCGAGGACGAUCUUUUUCAGGGUUGCUACGCUAGGAUUGAGGAUGUUGAUGACAUGAAUGAUGCGACCACUCUCUUUGAAGAGGCUAAACAUCUCCUUUCCCGAGUAAGCACUUACCUUUAGUAUUGCAAUUUUUUCUUUCUUUGCUCUCGACUAAUAUGUCUCCAUUUUAUGAAUAGGCCUUCGCAAAGUUUAGAGCUGAGCUGAGACACUGUGAGGCCGAGCUCAAGAAAGUUUCGGGUGAAGAGAAGGCCCUGAGGCUCCUCUGUAGCCAGAAGGAAAAGGAGCUUAAGGAUCUCCGAACUGCAUUGGUCAAAGCUCAAAAAGGCGAGUUCGAGCUAGAUGAGCAGGUAAAUUUGAUUUUAAUAGAGUACGUCCUUCUUGGCACUGCUUCGGAGGCUAAUACUUUAAUAUCUCAGCUGCAGCAAAAUCUAGAUAUGAUUGGGAAGCUCUGGGGCGAGGUAGAUCAAAUUCGGGCUGUUGUCAUCAGUGGAAGAAGAACAUGGAUCAACUUGUUGCCGAUAAGAAAGUUGUUACGGCCCAACUGGCCUCGGCUGAAGCUCAACUCCAAGGUGUUGAAGCGAAGGUCCUGGCUCAGGCCAGGAAAAUUGAAGGGUUGGAGGCCGAGCUGGCUAAAGCCUGGGCUGAAACUGCACAGGCUAAGGCUGAAGUUGUACAAGCUAAGGCCGAAGUUAAGAAGACGAAGGUUGCAGCUGAUAAAUCCAUUGUUAUAUACUCGAGGGAACCGCGGUCGUUCAAGCUGUGUUGAGGGAGGCCUCCGACCGGGGGAGACGGAGCAAUUAAUUGGAUAACAUCCAAGCCCGGAGGGAGACUCUCGAAUAAAUCCAUUCCCGAGGGUUCAACCUCGCUGGGGAGAUAGCUGAAGCAAAGGCAUAGGAAACCGAUGCUAGGUUUCUUGUCUCCUCGGAUGUCGAGGAUGUGGUGAGUGGCUCUGGGGACGAGGAAGGUGAAGAAGAUGUUCCCGAAGGGAAAGAGGCUCCCAAAUAUAGAGCCGCUGAAGAUGAAGACGACACUCCGGAGGUGUGACCUCGAAAAUAGAUUAGGUUUCCUUUUUUAUGUAAGGGCCCAUUGUGUGCGUUGUAAAUAUAUUUUGUAAAUUUCCCUUAUGUAUAUAAAGUAUCUUUUUGCUCUAUCCUCGAUUUGUGUUGAAUUUUAUUUUGUCCCCGUCUAUGGAAAAUUUUGAUGAUUCAAAUACUUAGCUCGAGUAUUGGUUCAGACUCGUGAUAAACCCUUAGGUUUUUAUUGCUCAAGAUCAUACUCCUUAAGGUUUUAGAUGAUCCUCGAGCUAAGCUUAAAAUCAAUUUGAUGUGAUCUUAGAACAAUGGGGCCUUUGGGUCCAAGUUGAAUGAGAACGAAGUCUCGGACACCCAUGAACUUUUGGCCAUAUAUCUCUUUUAAGCUGGCCCUUAGGUUCUUGUGUAUCGGCCCUUAGGCUCUUUUAAAAUUGGCCCUUAGGCUCUUUAAAUUGGACUGUUUCGGCCUCUAAAAUGGCUAUAUAAUUUUUCCCUCAGUUCGGCAAAAAGACUUACUGAAAUUUUAGUUAUGCCUUAGCAUGUGUUUUUGUACCCGUUGGGUUUCUCGAAGGCUUAACGUAUCGGAAACUUAUUAGUCAUUUUGUUUGUGUAGACGUAAUUGAAUACCUCUCGAGGUUGUUCCGAAGGUUGGUAUUAUCGAAGCCUUUGGAUUAUUCAAGGGCUAAUUUAUCAAAGCCCUUAGAUUUUUCGGGGGCCGAAUUUAUUGAAGCCCCUUAUAUUUUACUUUUGCCGGGAGUAGCCUGAUUUAGCUAGUUUUUCAAUGUUUGAAGGCCUUUAAUUUUAUAGUGAAAGUCCAACGUCUCCGAAUCGCAUUAUUUUGGCCGUAGCCUUUAUGUGACUAUAGUCCUUAGUAUGGUCGUAGCCUUCGGGUUUGUCAUUUGGACUUGUUUCCAAUAACUUUCCGAACUUGUUCGAAGAGUUAUUCCCCGAGUAUAUUAGCCUUGGCCUUUGUUUCGAGGGGGUGCUUCUUUGAGGUCUUAUGAGUCCAAAUUUUUGAUGACUCGGAUGUAUUGACUGUCAGUGACAGUCCCCGGGUAUUUUGAGGUGUUUUGGCCCUUGAGCCACUUCUCAUAGUAUUGUAAGUGUAGACCUCGUAUGAUAGCAAACUUCUUUGAGAUACAAAGUGUUUUUGAUAUAACCAUAAUGCUUCUUUAAAUAUUUGAUACAUGCGUACAUGUUUUGCCGUAGGUUCUCGACUAUUUUAUGUGAACACGGUUCAUUUGACCGUUUGGCCCAUUACAAAGUUCUCCUAUCGAGGCCCUCUUAGGCGUGAAGUAUCUUUCUCAAAAAUAUAACCUCCGAGGGUGAUACCCCCCAGUAUUCGAGGUUGAUUGAAAAGAAGCCUUGAAUACUUUUUUUUAAUGUUCCUUAGGUAGUAUAUAGGUGUUGCCUCGUUAAAAACCUUCCCGGUAAAACCCAUUCGGGAUAAAACCCAAUCUAAGGGAAAAAGAGUGCAAUGCAUACUUUCAAACCCAAGGUCUUCGAGCUGAAAGGUGCCUCAAUAUCUCCAAUCGAACAUCUGGAAGGAGUUAGUUUUAAAUACAAAUGGAAAAGGGGAGAAGGUCAUACCUCAGCAGUAAUAUCGCUUGAGCAACGAUAUAUUCCAAUUGUUUGGUAGUUGCUCGCCUUCCAUUGUGCUAAGUUUGUAGGAACCUUUCCCUAUGACUCCGAGGACACGGUACGGUCCUUCCCAAUUGGGACCUAGUUUCCCUUUGUUUGGGUCUCGAGUGUUGAGAGUGACUUUCCUCAGGACUAAGUCCCCGACUCUGAAAUAUCGAAGGUUCGUCCUUCUGUUGUAAUACCUUUCGAUCCUUUGUUUUUGCACAGCCAUUCGAAUUGACGCGGCCUCUCAUUUUUCAUCAAAUAGUUCGAGAGAAGUGUUCAUAGCUUCGUGAUUUAAGUCCUCGGUGGCAUGCUUAAACCUGACGCUAGGUUCCCCGACUUCGACUGGGAUCAAUGCUUCGGAUCCGUAUACCAAAGAAUACGGGGUCUCUCCCAUGCUCGACUUCGAUGUCGUUCGAUAUGCCCAUAGCACCUCGGGCAAUACUUCUCUCCAUUUACCUUUUGCAUUAUCUAACCUUUUCUUUAAGUUUUGAAUGAUAGUUUGGUUUGUGGACUCGGCCUGACCAUUUGCACGUGGGUGGUAAGGUGCUGAUAGAAUCUUUUUGAUUUUAUGGUCCUCAAGGAACUUUGUUACUUUGUCGUUGAUGAACUGCUUUCCAUUGUCACAUGCUAUUUUGGCGGGUAUCCUGAACUGACAUAUGAUGUGGUCCCAUAUGAAGUCGAUGAAUUCUUUUUCUCUUAUCUUCUCGAAGACCUGCGCUUCAACCCAUUUUAAGAAGUAGUCAGUCAUAAACAAAAUAAAUCUAGCUUUGUCUGGCGUGUUGGCAGAGGGCCAACGAUGUCCAUCCCCUAUUUCAUGAAUGGCCACGGGGGUCGGACCAAAUGGAUUUGUUCACCGAGCUGAUGGAUCAUCAGUACAAAUCUUUGGCAUUUAUCACACUUUCGAACAAACUCCUUGUUAUCCUUUUCCAUGUUAUCCCAAUAAUACCCCACUCUGAUUACCUUGCAAACCAAAGAGUUUGCACCAGAAUGAUUCCCACAAGUACCCUCAUGGAUUUAUUGUAGUACAAAAUUGGUAUCCCUGGGUUCCAAGAACACUGCCAGUGGUCCAUCGAAGGUUCUUCUAUACAACGUUCCAUUUUCGUCGAGUGAGAAUCGAGCUGCUUUGGCUCGAAGUGUUCUUGAUUCUUUUGGGUCUGUGGGGAGCUUCCCAUGCUUCAAGUAGUCGAUGUACUUAUUCCUCCAAUCCCACGUUAAACUUGUUGAAUUAAUCUCUGCAUGGCCUUCUUCGACCACCGACCUCGAUAAUUGGACGACAGUCUCCUGGAUGAUAUUGUCUUCUUCGACCGAUGACCCUAAGUUUGUAAGUGCAUCGUCUUCGCUAUUCUGUUCUCGUGGUAUAUGGUCCAGUGUCCAUUCCUUGAAGAGGUGCAAUAUCAUUUGAAGUUUGUCUAAGUACCUUUGCAUUCGAUCAUCUCGAACCUCGAAGCUUCCAUUUACUUGAUUUACUACCAAAAGGGAGUCACACUCUGCCUUGAUGACCUCUACUCCAAGGCCAUUGGCUAGUUCAAGACCUUGCUCUUCUCGAACCAACACACCACUUACCACUACCUCGGACACGGCCAGAUAUAAGUAGAGUGUUUCAUCCUCCUUCGGAGUAUGGAGCAGGGGUGGGCUCGAGAGAUACCUCUUUAAUUCUUCCAAGGCCUGUUUGCACUCCAGAGUCCAUGCGAAGUUGUUCUUCUUCUUGAGUAGGGAAAAGAAAUGAUGGCUCCGAUCUGAUGACCUCAAGAUAAAUCGGCUUAAGGUAGCUAUCCGUCCGGUUAGCCAUUGUACAACUUUCACAUUGUUCAUUACAGUGAUUUCCUCGAUGGAUUUGAUUUAUCGGGGUUGAUCUCGAUAUCUCUGUUUGACACCAUGAAACCCAAGAACUUGCCCGAGCCAACCCCAAAAGCGUAGGGGUUGAGCUUCAUGUUGUACUUUCUUCAGGAUAUAGAAUGUCACCUGCAAAUAGGGUCGAAAUAGGUCCUCUGUGCGCAGGGACUUAACUAGCAUGUCAUCAAUAUAAACUUCCAUGGAUUUUCCUAUCUGAUGUUCGAACAUCUUAUUAACUAGGUGUUGAUAUGUCGCUCCUGCAUUUUUAGACCGAAGGGCAUUACAUUAUAACAAUUUGUACCAUACUUCCUGAUGAAUGAAGUCAUUUCCUGGUCCUCUGGGUUCAUUUGAAUUUGGUUGUACCCGGAGUAAGCAUCAAGAAAAGUAAGGAUCUCGUGGCUGGCCGUAGCAUCGAUCAAAAGAUCAAUGUUGGGCAAUGGGAAAUAAUCCUUGGGGCAUGCUGUGUUCAAAUCUUUAUAGUCUACACACAUUCUGAGUUUAUUCCCCUUUUUAGGGACUACCACUACAUUAGCUAGCCAUUUGAGAUAUUUUACUUCCCUAAUAGACCCUAUCUUGAGAAGUUUUGAUACCUCUUCUUUGAUGAAUGCAUGCUUUACCUAGGACUGAGGUCUCCUCUUUUGCUUUACCUGCUUAAAUUUGUGAUCGACACUUAGUCGAUGGGUAGUUAUCUCCGGUGGGAUCCCUGUCAUAUCUAUGUGGGACGAAGCAAAGCAAUCAAUGUUAUCGAUAAGAAAUUGAAUGAGUUUUUUCCUAAGUUUGGGGGUUAACCCCAUCCCCAGGUAUACCUUUCAUUCCGGAAGAUGCUCGAUCAAUAUGGCCUGCUCGAGUUCUUCGACCGUGGACUUUGUCACAUCAGAUUCCUCGGGGGAAACGAAGGCUCGGGGGUGAGGAAAUCUUCUUCUUCGUCUUCAACCACUUGUUCGUCGAUCACCUGUCCCUCGGGCUCAACUAAGGGUAUGGGCUGUGAUUGCUAUUUGGCAACCUAUUUUUCCUUUGACUUCUCCGAUGUGGAUGGUGUCGAUAUCGGUGCCAAGUCGUGUACUGCAAACAUCUCCUUAGCUGCAUGUUGUUCUCCAUAUACUAUUUUAAUGCCAUCCUUUAUUGAGAACUUCAUCAUUUGAUGAAGGGUUGAUGGCACUGCCCUCAUGCUAUGGAUCCACGGCCUUCCUAGUAAAGCAUUAUACCUCAUAUCUCCUUUGAUGACAUGGAACUUGGUGCCUUGUAUGGUUCCGGCCACGUUGACUGGGAGGAUGAUUUCCCCCUUCGUCGUUUCACUUGCCAUGCUGAAUCCAUUCAAGACUUGAGAGGCAGGUAUGAUUUGGACAAGUAACCCAAGCUGCUCCAUGACCCUUGAUCUGAUUAUAUUUGUUGAGCUACCUGGAUCCACGAGAACACGUUUAACUUGAACUUUAUUUAGAAGGAUAGAAAUUACCAGUGCAUUAUUGUAAGGUUGAGAUAAGGCCUCGAUGUCUUCCUCGCUAAAUGUGAGGGUUUCCUCGGGCACGUAGUCCCGAGUCCGUUUCACCCUUGUGAUGGAAACUUUGGUACGUUUGAAUAUAGGUCCCUGUGGGAUGUCGACUCCGUGGAUGAUCAUGUGAGUGACAUGUUGAGGUUCUUCGGGCUCAUUCUUCCUGUUUGCAUCUCUAUCUCGAAAAUGGUUCUUGGCCCGACGCUGAGAAAUUCACGAAGAUUCCCUUCGUUGAACAACCAGGCUACCUCCUCUCUAAGUUGCCUACAAUCUUUGGUCCUCUGCCUAUGAGUACCAUGAUAUUUGCACAUAAAGUUGGGGUUCCUCUGAGAAGGAUCGGUCUGUAUAUGCUUGGGCCAUCUAGUACCUCUAAUUUUGCCAAUGGCUGAGAUGAUCCUCGAGGCACCGACGCUAAAGUUGUACUCCGAUAAUAUGGGUGCCUCUACCGGUCCCAAGUGCCUAUCAAACCCGGUUUUGGUCAUGAGUCCCUGGGAACUUUGACCUCGAUCUGCUCUUCGAUGAUUUUGAGGUAUGUUAUGCCUUGAAAUGUUCCUUCAAUCCUCGACGUAUGGCUGAUAUCUUUCCUUAUUCGAUCUUGAACCUCUGUCUGCAUUUCUUGUCUCCCUGGUUGGAUAAACUAAGCCCGAUGGGUUCUCCCAACUGGUAAUCCUCGACCCUAAUUUUUGAUUGGUACCUGUUAUGCACAUCCGCCGAAGUCACAAUGGGAUACUCGAUCAAGUUCUGCUUCAGCUGCUUUAAAGCUAUCGAACUUCGUUCAUUUACCCCCUGAGUGAAGGCUUGUACGGCCUAGUCAUCAGAGACUAGUGCUAACUCCAUUCGUUUUGAUUGGAAACGGGAUACAAACUCCCUUAACAUCUCGUUCUCCUUUUGCUUUAUUUUGAAUACAUCGGAAUUCCUUGUUGCAACUUUUAUGGAACCGGCAUGUGCCUUCACAAAUAAGUCUACCAAUAUGGCAAACGAAUUGAUAGAGUUCAGGGGUAGGUUAUGGUACCAAAUCAUGGCACCUUUAGACAGAGUUUCCCCAAACUUUUUUUAGCAAAACAGAUUCAAUCUCAUCGUCUUCCAAAUCAUUUCCUUUUAUGCCACAAGUUUAUGUGGUGAUGUGCUCGUUGGGAUCAGUGGUUCCGUUGUAUUUCGGGAUAUCUGGCAUCCAAAACUUCUUCGGGAUGGGAUUCGGAACCGCACUCUAGGGGAAUGGUUUUUGCACAAACUUCUUCAAGUCCAGUCCUUUCAAAAUUGGAGGUGCUCCCGGUAUUUGGUCGACCCUUGAGUUAUAUGUCUCCACCUUUUUGUCAUUUUCUUCUACCUUCUUUUCUCUGGUCUCGAUCUUUUUGGCGAGCUCUUCGAACAUUUUCAUAAUCGUGGGGUCAGUCCCCGAGCCAUAUUCAUCGAGCCUCUUUAGCACUGGUUCAGCACGUCGAGUGUUCGCUGGUUCGGUUGUGUUUGGAGUUCUGUUCUGACUUUGAAGUUGAGCGAUGGCGACUUGCUGGGCUUGCACAUUACGAAUAUCACCUAGAGGUUGACUCCUCAUUCUUCCAUUCCUCGUGUUCUUUGGCCAUCGGGUCGAGCUUCCCUACGCGCAUUCCUCAAAGGGUAUGCACCUGAAUCUGCGUUAAGAGUGUUAUGCGAGCUGAUAUCCACCGGCUACAUAUUUGGCACUUUCUCAUGGUUUAUGGGUGGUACACCGACCCCUAUACCGCUAUUUUCUCCAAGACCUUCAUCCUCGUGAAUAUGUGCAUUUUGUGUGCUAGACAUGUUUAAGCCUAAAAUCAAAGAAUCUUUGACAAGAAAAAAAGUGAAGAAUAACGUGUGUUAUUAGAAAACUAGCACUAAAAUAAUCACUAUUAUCAUUAGCCCCACGAUGGGCACCAAACUGUUUACCUCGAAAAAUGUGAGUAACAAUUAAAUAAGAUUUGUCAUUUUAGAGAUAUGUGAUUUAUUCUAAUACUAGUGAAUAUAUAUGUAAUACUAAACUUAAGUAAGAGGAAUUGAUGAACCAAACCAGUGUUAUUAGAGCAAUAAGGACCUCGAGCUCGAUUAUCUCGGCGGCCUCGAGGUGAUCUAAGAGCAAUAGAGUAUGAACAAUAAAGUAAAGACAAUAAAGCUGAAGAACAAUUGUUAAGCAUGGUAAACAAGAAAACCAGAGUGGAAUGUUCUAUUGCAGUGAAUGAGAUUGUUUUUAUAAAUGAUUGGGAUCCCCUUUAUAUAGGAGAGGAAAACCCUAAUAUGGUACAUUCCUAAUUAUGGUAAAGAAUUCUAUUGGUGCAGCUGUAUAAUAACCUGGUACGGACUCGUACUAUUUCGUACAAAUCUUAUCCUUCAAUUUAUGCCUUGAUCCAUGUGUCCUUGAGAAAUUACCACUCUUUCUUGAGUGUCGUCGAAAUUGUACUGCCCUCGAAGUAGGUCGUGCUAGGCCUUCGAUUUUCUCCCAUGAGGUGUGUGUCCUUCAGCCGGGUCCGACCCCCACUUUGAGUCGCCUGGACUCGGACUCAUAGCCCAAUUUAAUACCUCGAAAUCGGGCUCCUUGAUUUUGACCGUAUACAGACAGUCCUCGCAUUUCUUAGAAUGAAAUGAUAUGAAACGAUUUGGACUCCCGAAGUCCUUAGUGAUGAUGCCAUCCCCAUGAUGCAAGCGUUCGAAGUGACCGAAACGUCUCGGCGGUCCAUUUCCUUCAAUUAUGAAGUACCUUCCAAAAAGGUCCAGUGACUAGCAGUUGUUCCACUUUCCUAAACCCAUAAUUUUAAAUGUAUUCUGAACAUAUGUCUAUAUAAGACAGCAAAUCCAAUAAUUAAACCAUCCACCAACCACAAUACAUACCAUAACUUCAGAUAAGCACAAAUGUAAAGGGACCACAUGCAACCAAAAAUUAACUACAAAAAUGACAUUAGAAGCAUGGAAGGAAACAAAGAAGCUAAAAACACAUGCAAAUACAUAAAAAGCAACAGAACGAUGACAGAUUCUACCAGCAGUAUAAGUAUAGAUAAAUACAUAGGCAAACUAGAAUUAAAUAUCUGGAAUCGAUAAAAAGUAGGACCCCAUAUCAAUAAUUUAACCAGCCACAACCACAAUAAAAUUCCUAAAUUUAGACAAGAAAAAAUGAAAAAGGGACCGCAUGCAAUCCAAAAUUGACUACAAAAAACGCAACAGAAGCAUUGAAAAAACAAAGAAUCUAAAAAGCAUAUGAAAACACAUGGAAAACAACACAAAAUGCAGAUUUAAAAACCGUAAACCCUAUAUUAUUCACCAAAAUAACAGUUUUAUUUGCCUCGAAAAAUGUGAGUAACAAUUAAAUAUGAUUUGUAGUUUUAAAGAUGUGUGAUCUAUUCCAAUACUAUUGAAUAUACAAGUAAUACUAAACUUAAGUAAGAGGAAUUGAUGAACCAAACCAGUGUUGUUAGAGCAAUAAGGACCUCGAGUUCGAUUAUCUCGAGGGCCUCGAGGUGAUCUAAGAGCAAUAGAGUAUGAACAAUAAAGUAAAGACAAUAAAGCUGAAGAACAAUUGUUAAGCAUGGUAAACAAGAAAAGCAGAGUGGAAUGUUCUAUUGCAGUGAAUGAGAUUAUUUUUACAAAUGAUUGGGGUCCCCUUUAUACAGGAGGAAAAAACCCUAAUAUGGUACAUUCCUAACUGUGGUAAAGAAUUCUAUUGGUACAGUUGUAUAACAACCUGGUACGGACUCGUACUAUUUCGUACAAAUCAUAUCCUUUAAUUUGUGCUUUGAUCCACGUGUCCUUUAGAAAUUUCUGCUCUUUCUUGAGUGUCGUCGAAAUUGUACUGCCCUCCAUGUAGCUCGUACCAGACCUUCGAUUUGCUCCCUCGAGGUGUGUGUCCUUCAGCCGGGUCUGACCCCCACUUCAAGUCGCCCAAACUCGGACUCAUAGCCCAGUUUAAGACUUCAAAAUCGGGCUCCUUGAUUUUGACCGUAUGUAAGUUUAAACUUAAAGAAGAGAAGAGUAGAAAUUUUCAACUUUAAACGAAUAAUGUAGCAGAGAAUCCAAAGACUUGAGUCGGAUUUUUACCCUCUUUAAUCAGUGACCAUUUUCGCUCUUAGCCAAUAGGGUUAGAAAUGUAUUGAUAAAAUGAAUGUGGUCGUUCUUUAAGUUAAAACGGAGGGUCGACAAUAGGGCGGGUUACGGGUGGGUUAGUGUUUAGGGUUGGAUUUUAAGUUGGGCCAAUAAAAAUAUAACAUUUGAAUUAAAAAAAGUUUUUUUAAAAUAUAAGGUUUUUAGAAAUAAGGGCAUAGCUGAUCCAGAACAUAAACAAUAUGUGUUUUUUAUUGAAAAAAUGGGAAGGAGGGCUUUAUUAUACCAAAUUCAAUAGUUUCCCUUUUCCGUUAUUUUAUUAUUGACAUCAUCAUCUGUGAUAACCCAAAAUGGUCAUAUUUAGUUUAAACAUUAAUUUAUGUGUUCUAUGAAGAUGUUGAGAGCUUACCUGCUAUGAGUUAUAUAUCACCCGAAUAGUUGAUGUUAAUGGUGUUCCUUUUCUAGUAAUAUAUUGCUUAUGAGGCCACUAUUAGUAUUGUUUUCAUGUUGUGCUACAUUUAUUGGAAUAUGUAUGUGUUGUUAGGAUUGGUUUUUGGGAUUCUCUAAAAGGUAGGGCCUAGUUACAAAGGAAAUUCUGGCGAAUUUUUUGGAAAAUUUGGGAGUUAGUAGAAAUUCGGGAAAUUAAAAUGUGUGAAAGAAGAGAUAAGUUAUGUUAUGUGUUUGGGGGAGGACUUUACUUCUCAUCUGAGGACUAUUAACAAGAUGGAUACCAAUUUGAUAUGACAAUAAGUGCACGAGGCAUAUAAUAAGUGAUAUGGGGUCUAAGGAAAGUCUUAAGUCUAUGCCAAGUUGGAAAAUUUCAUAAUAGACUAAAGUUCCAAAUGAGUACACACAAGACCCAACUUUGGACAAGCAUAUCUACAUAUAUAUAAGGAUUUAUGUGAUGGAAAACCUAUUAAAUAAAAGAUCUUCGAGUUUAGUUUCUUACGCUUUAAACCGUUCGUCAUUUGAGACCAAUGGGGUCAAUUUUGCUGUGUUUCAGAUGAUGGGUUCCGGCAAGAGAUGGUGGAAGGAUUUUGUAUCGACUAGACCAGCUGGGUCUCCUGCUCUUACUUACGACCAGUUCUCUCAGUUAUUUCUUGAGAAGUUUCUUCCCAUCACACUAAGAGAGGAUUAUCGCAGGCAGUUUGAGCGUCCUCAGCAGGGCAGCAUGUCUAUCAUUCAGUAUGAGACAUGUUUCAUGGAUCUGGUCUAUCAUGCUAUUAUUCUGCUUCCUACCGAGAGAGAAUGUGAGGAGGUUUGUUGAGGGACUCGCUCAGCCUAUCAAGUUGCAGAUGUCCAAGGAGACCGGGAGUGAGAUUUAUUUUCAGACAGCUACUAAUAUCACUAGGCGAGUCGAGAUGGUUCUUGCAUAGGGGGGAGGUCAAGGGUCUAACAAGAGGCCUCGUAAUUUCAGUGGAUUCAGUGGUGCCUCAUCUGGGGCAGGGGUACUUUUGGUAGAAUACAUCCUCCCAGGACAUUUCAUUCAGCAAUCCAUGUAUCCCAUGGUGCUUUAGAUGGUCGUGGCCCUCAUAUGUCUCAUUCCGACCAUCUAGCCUAUAGUGCACCUCUACUCUAGAGUUUUCAGGGUGGUUACUCAGGUCGACAAGGUCAGUUUCAGGGUCAAUAGUCACAGCAGCCGAGGUCCUGUUAUACUUGUGGUGAUUUGAGGCACAUUGCUAGAUUUUGCCUUCGGGCAUCGAGCAGCUCACAACAUCAGGGUUCUCCCAGCACUGGGUUCUUGAUCGCUCGCUCAGCCAGCUAGAGGUAGGGCUAGGAAGCUAUAGGUGGAGGUCAGGCUGCUAGAGGUGGAGGCCAGCCAGCUAGGCCCCGUCCUAGAGAUGUAAUUUAGAGUGGUGGGGCCCAACCCCAAAUUUUAUGCUUUUCCAGUUAAGCCCGAGGCCGAGUCAUAUGAUGUCGUGAUCACAGCUAAUAUUCAAGUUUUCCAUAGAGAUUCUUCACAUCUAUUUGAUCCAGGUUCUACUUAUUCUUAUGUGUCCUCCUAUUUUGCUUCCUAUCUGGUUGUACCUCGUGAUUAGGGGUGAGCAUCGGUCGGUUCAGUUUGGUUGUGAAUGUUAUUGGUUCAUCAUAUCGGUUAUCGGUUUAUAAAUAUAAUAAAUCGAUAACGUAACCAUUAAGAUGUCGGUUAUCGGGUAUCGAUUAGUCGGUUAUCAAUCCUUAUCGGUUCGAUUAUCGGUUUACCCAAUAAGAACAAAAACUAUCUAAAAAAUCAUAUUUUUAUUAUAGAAAUCGUGAUCGAACUAUUAAGAGAAAGGAAUUUAAUUUUUACUUGUAAGAUAAGAGGGAUUAAAUUUCAACUUAGAAAAUAAAACUUUCUUUGCAUUUGAAAAUCCCAAUGAAUGAUCUCAAUUUUUAAAGUUAUAAGUUAAUAGGAGUGAGAGAUAAGACAUUCAACAAUCUAAUCUUACUAACUAUCUCAUUGAGAGCGGGCAUAAUUCAUAGAAAAAUAAUAAAAUCCUAGUCUUGUAAAUAUUAAAGAAUCUCUGCAACAAAAGAAACAAAUAGAAAAACUAAAAAUCUGAAUAAUUAAUUCUUUAAAGUUUAAAAGUAAAAAUCUUAAUUGAAGAAUUAAAAUGAGAAAUUCAGAAAAGUUUAAAACUUACUCUAAGGAUUAAGGUCAGAAGAUGAAGAGUAACUACCAAGAGAAUUGAGAGAAUGAGAGAAUGAAGCCAUAAGGUGGUUUUAUAGAUUUAGUGGGUAAAAUUAUAAUUUUGUUAAAGCUUAUUGGGCUAUCGGUUAAACCAUUAAUAAAUUGGGCAAACUGAGACCUGAACCAAUAACCCAUUAGUCAAAUAACAUUAAACCUUUAUCGAACUAUUUACCCAAUAGCCUGAUACCAAUAACCCACUAGUAUUUUAUCGGUUUGGGUUAUCGGUUAAUACCCGAUAUAUGCCCAGCCCUACUUGUGAUUCUCUGAGUGUUUUUUGUGUGUGUCCACACUGGUGGGAGAUUCUAUUGUUGUAGAUCAUGUCUAUCGUUUGUGCGUGGUUACUAUUGGGAGUCUUGAGACUAGUGUGGAUAUUCUACUUCUCGACAUGGUAGAUUUUGAUGUCAUACUAGGUAUGGAUUGGUUGUCACCUUAUCAUGCUAUAUUGGAUUGUCAUGCCAAGAUGGUGACCUUAGCCAUGUCAGGGUUACCUCGAUUAGAGUGGAAAGGAACUCCUGGCCAUUCUUCCAAUAAGGUUAUUUCCUAUUUGAAAGCUUGUCGUAUGGUCGAGAAGGGGUGUCUACCCUAUUUGGCUUAUAUUCGUGAUUCCAUUGCGGAUGUUCCUUCUAUGGAUUCAGUCCCAAUUGUUUGUGAAUAUCUAGAAGUUUUUUCCUACAAAGUUAUCAAGAAUGCCACCCGAUAGAGAUAUUUGUUUUUGUAUUGAUUUGGCUCCGGGACUCAGCCCAUUUCUAUUCCACUAUACCGUAUGGUCCCGCUGGAGUUGAAAGAAUUAAAGGAGCAGUUGUAGGACUUGCUUGAUCAGGGAUUCAUUAGACCCAGUGUCUCACCCUGGGGUGCACCAGUGUUAUUUGUAAAGAAGAAAAAUGGCUUUAUACGGAUGUGUAUUGAUUAUCGGUAGUUGAACAAGGUCACUAUCAAAAACAAGUAUCCAUUGCCAAGAAUCGAUGAUUUAUUUGAUCAACUUCAGGGUGACAAGGUGUUUUCAAAAUUAACCUGAGGUCGGGUUAUCAUCAGUUAAAGAUUAGGGUAUCUGAUGUCCCUAAGACAUCUUUUCGGACUCGGUUUGGGCCUUAUAAAUUCCUAAUAAUGUCAUUUGGGCUAACAAAUCCUCCAACGACAUUUAUGGAUUUGAUAAAUCGGGUGUUCAAGCAAUAUCUGGAUUCAUUUGUGGUUGUAUUCAUUGAUGACAUCUUGAUUUACUCUAGAAGUCGAGAGGAGCAUGAGCAACAUCUUCGGAUUGUGCUUCAGACUUUGAAGAAUAAUCAGUUAUAGGCCAAAUUUUCAAAAUGCUAGUUUUGGUUAAACUCAAUUGCCUUUUUAGGGCAUGUUGUAUCGGUAGGAGGCAUAAAAGUGGAUCCUAAGAAGAUUGAGGCAAUUCAGAACUGGCCUAGACCUACUUCAGUUACAGAGAUACGGAGUUUUCUUGGUUUGGCAGGAUAUUAUCGCCGGUUCGUGGAAGGGUUUUCAUCUAUAGCAAACCCAUUGACCAGAUUGACCUAGAAAGGUGUUCCCCUUAGAUGGUCAGAUGAGUGUGAGUUGCGCUUUCAGAAGCUCAAGACUGCUUUGACUACGGUGCCAGUGUUGGUGUUGCCCACAGGUUCAGGAUCGUACACGGUGUAUUGUGAUGCAUCUCGCAUUGGACUUGGUGCAGUAUUAACGCAAGAUGGCAGAGUGAUUGCUUAUGCAUCGCGGCAAUUGAAAGUCUAUGAGAAAAAUUAUCAUGUGCAUGACUUAGAAUUGGCAGCCAUUGUUCAUGUGUUAAAGAUUUGGAGACAAUACCUUUACAGCGUUUCAUGUAAAGUAUUCACAGAUCAUUAUAGUCUACAGUAUCUAUCCAGAUAGAAAGAUCAUAAUUUGAGGCAGAGAAGAUGGUUGGAGUUGUUGAAGGACUAUGAUAUCACUAUUUUUUAUUACCCGAGAAAGGCCAAUGUGGUGGCCGAUGUUUUGAGUAGAAAGGCUGUGAGUAUGGAUAGCCUUGCAUAUAUUCCAUCUGGAAAGAGGCUGCUAGCUGCAGAUGUUCAGACUUUGGCCAAUCAGUUUGUAAGGUUAGAUAUUUCAGAGCCUAGUCGGGUUCUAAAUUGUAUAAUCGCCCGGUCUUCUUUAUAUGAACGCAUCGAGACCGACAGUGUGAUGAUCCUUAUUUGCUUGUCCUUAAGGACACGGGUGCGGCACGGUGGUUCCAAGCAGGUUGAUGUGGGAGAUGAUGAAGUUCUGCAGAUAUAUGGUUGUAUUUGUGUUCCUAAUGUGGAUGGGCUUCGCAAAUUAAUUCUUGAAAAGGCCCACAGUUCACGGUAUUUUUUUUAUCUGGGUACUGCCAAAAUAUAUCAAGAUUUGCGACAACAUUAUUGGAGGAGGAGAAUGAAAAAGGAUAAAAUUGCAUAUGUAGCUCACUGUCUGAAUUGUCAGCAAGUCAAGUACGAGCAUCAGAGACCUGGUGGUUUGCUUUAGAAGUUAGAAAUUCCAAAGUGGAAGUGGGUGCGUAUCACUAUGAAUUUUGUUGUUGGACUCCCACGGACUCAGAAGAAGUUCGAUGAAGUAUGGGUCAUUGUGGACAGGCUGACCAAGUCAGCACAUUUCAUUCCAGUGGCAGUUACCUAUUAUUCAGAGCGGUUAGCUGAAAUUUACAUUCGUGAGAUUGUCCGCCUUCACGGUGUGCCCAUGUCUAUUAUUUCAUAUCGAGGUACGUAAUUCACCUCACACUUCUGGAGGGCUGUACAGUGUGAGUUAGGCACGUGAGUUGAGUUGAGUACACCAUUUCAUCCCCAUAUAGAAGGAUAGUCCAAGCGCACUAUUUAGAUAUUGGAAGAUAUGCUUCGCGCUUGUGUUAUUUAAUUUGGAGGUUCUUGGGAUCAGUUCUUGCCACUUGCGAAGUUUGCCUAUAAUAACAGCUACCACUCGAGCAUCCAGAUGGCCCUAUAUGAAGCAUUUUAUGGGAGGCGGUACCGUUCGCCAGUUGGCUGGUUUGAACCGGGAGAGGCUCGGUUGUUAGGUACUGAUUUGGUAAAGGAUGCCUUGGAUAAGGUCAAGGUUAUCCAAAAUCGACUUCGCGUAGCUCAGUCUAGGCAAAAGAGUUAUACCGACCAUAAGGUUCAUGAUGUUGCAUUCAUAACUAAAGAAAGAGUAUUAUUCCGGGUUUCACCUAUGAAAGGUGUAAUGAAAUUCGGAAGGAAGGGCAAGUUAAGCCCUAGGUAUAUCGGACCCUCUGAAAUUCUUGAACGGGUGGGUGAAGUAGCCUACAAGCUUGCACUACCACCUAGCUUAUCAUCAGUUCAUCUAGUAUUCCAUGUAUCCAUGCUCCGAAAAUAUCAUGGUGAUCCAUCCCAUGUGUUAGACUUCAGCUCAGUUCAAUUGGACAAAGAUUUAACUUACGAGGAGGAGCCGGUAGCUAUUUUAGCUCGUUAUGUUUGACAAUUGAGUUCUAAGAUUUAUCCUUCAGUUCGAGUACAAUGGAGAGGUCAACCGUUUGAGGCAGCCACCUGGGAGUCCAAGUUGAACAUACGGAGUAAAUAUCCACAUCUUUUCACCAGCUCAGGUACUUUUUUAAUUUCAUUCGAGGACGAACGUUUGUUUUAGAGGCGGAGAAUGUGAUGACCCAAAAAUGUCAUUUUUAAUUUAAACAUUAAAUUCUUUGUUCUAUGAAGAUAUUGAGAUCUUACCUGCUACAAGUUACGUAUCACCCAAAUAGUUGAUGUUAAUGGUGUUCCUUUUCUAGUAAUAUAUUGCUUAUGAGGUCACUGUUAGUAUUUGUUUCAUGUUGUUCUACGUUGAUUGGAUUAUUUAUGUGUUGUUAGGAUUGGUUUCUGGGAUUCUCUGAUAGGUGGAUAGGCCUAGUAAAAAAGGAAAUUCUGGCGAAGUUUUUGGAAAUUUUGGGAGUUAGUAAAAAUACGGGAAAUUGAAAUGUUCGAAAGAAGAGAUAAGUUAUGUUAUGUGUUUGCGGGAGGACUCUACUUCUCAUCCGAGGACUAUUAACAUGAUAGAUACCAACUGGAUAUGACAAUAAGUGUACAAGGUAUAUUAUAAGUGAUAUGGGGUCUAAGUAAAGUCCUAAGCCUAAGCCAAGUUGGAAAAUUUCAUAAUAGACUAAAGUUCCAAAUGAGUACGCACAAGAUCAAACUUUGGACAAGCAUAUAUACAUAUAUGUAAGGAUUUAUGUGAUGGAAAACCUAUAAAAUGAAAGAUCUUUGAGUCUAGUUUCUAACGCUUCAAACCUUUUGUUAUUUUGACACUCCUACAAGAAGUUAUGACCAAUUUAACAAAAGCUGGCAGAAUUUGUACUACCGCGCCGCGCCUGUGGGAAAUUCCAGAACGUUGCGAAAUUUAAUUUCCAGACACGUUUUGCACAGCCACCCCGCGCCCCUACAGAAAAGGGGUUUUUUACCCGAACCCCAUUUUAUUUAACUCGAUUGGGGUUCAUUUUUGGGGCAAUUUUUGGUGUUUUAGAGAGAAGGGAGAGCGAUUAUAGAGAGAGAAAGGGGAGAAAUAAAGAUUUCACUACUCUUCCUUCAAUCAAACCUUGAAAUUGCAUCAAAGGGUUGCUAAGGCCUUAAAGAGGUAAGAAUUUCUUUCCCCAUUUCUUCAAUUUCGAAAUCCAACUAGAAAUGAGUAAUUAGUAAGAUGAUUCUGGAUGUGAGAGUAUUAGUUAUACAUGCUUGUACCAAUAAGGUUGUGGGAAGAUUGUUGCGUUCAAAUGGGUAAGGAUUAUGUUGAAAAUGGUAGAAAUCUUCAUAGACUUUAAUUGAGGAUUUGAAAGGCAAUCUGAUCUCGGAAUUCGAUAAUUUUUGUAUGGUUGAACUCGUAUCGGAACGGGUGUUCGAAUUUCGUGAGUUUUUCCGAGAUUCGAGACGUGGGUCCUACUGUCAAUUUUUAAAGUGAAUUUCGGAUUUUAAUCCAGAAAAGUAGUAAAUUCAUAUGGAGUUAAUUCCUACGAUUCGUAUUGAGUAUAUUGAAUUGUUUGUGACUAGAUUUGAAGCUUCCAGACACGAAUUCUUGAGGCAAAGGCGUAUUGGAUCUUGAAUUUGGUUGCGACGCGGGGUAAGUGUCAUGGUUAACCUUGACUUGAGAGAUUAGAACUUGUUUGUCUAUUUGCUACAUGUUUAGAUGUUGGGUGCAACGUAUAUGUGAGAUGAUGAGUACUUAUGCAUUGUUGUUGGGUUAAAUCAUUCGGGUGGGACUUGUUCUUGUAAUUUAUUGCUUACUUUGAUCAUGUUAUCCAUGCUUAGACUAGUUACUUAUUAGAUUGAUCGUUCUUACUACGUUUAUUGGCUUUGUGAUAAUUGCGUAUUGUUUCCAAGGUUGAGAUUGGUAUUGUGGAACCAUUGUUGAUGUAAGGCUUGUUCUUGUUGAUUCUAUCUCCCUGUUGUUAUUUAUUCAUUGUUAUAUGGUAAGGAAGAGUGUUAAUACACGAAGGGUGAUGUCAUGCCGUAUUUUGAGUGUUAAUGCACGAAGGGUGAUACCGUGUCGUAUUUUGAGUGUUAAUGUAUGAAGGGUGAUGUCAUGCAAUAUUGUGAGAGUUAAUGUACGAAGGGUGAUGGCGUGCCAUAUUUUAAAAGUUAAUGCAUGAAGGGUGAUGUCGUGCAGUAUCAUUGUUCCAUUGUGAGGUUGAGAGUAAAAGAACGAAAGGUGAUGUCGUGUAGUUUUAUUCAUUGUGUUAAUUCGUUUUUACUUAUUAAGGACAUAUUGACUGUUCUGGUUAUCAUUUUCGUUGUAUUUCUCGUAUUUAGUACCCCUUUAGCAUGUCCCCCUCCCAAUAGUACAUGUUUAGUUUUUACUUGUUGUUAUCUUGUAUGUAUAUUAUUAUCUGCACAGGUUUAUUACGUGGGUGUCUUGUCAUAGCUGCGUCACUAUUUUUUCGAGGUUAGGCUCGACAUUUACGGAGUACACGGGGUCGGUUAAACUCAUACUACACUCUGCACUUCUUGUGCAGACUUUGGUACUGGCCCCAACUGUUUGUAAGUCAUAGCAUCUUGGAUUUUCUCAUUGGAGACUCAAGGUAGAUCUACUGACGUCCGCAAACCUUGAAGUUCCCUU